GAAGUUUGCUUUGUGGGCGGCCCAUGUAUGACACUAUCCAUGUUCUUUUUGGAUAAUUUGGAUAAUUAUUUUGAAAACAUAAGAUGGCAUCCACAAUUAUCUCUUCACUAAAGAGACGUGGAAACAUCUGUUGCUAGAUUACCAAAUGAUGAAAACUUCUGAAAAAAUGACCUUGUUUUAAACCACCACCCUCAACCCACCCAAAAAAAAAAAAUGAUUUUUAGGAUAUCCAAUACUUAGGAUGAAGUAACCUUCCAUAUUCCCAGUUUGGUCUCAUUCACUCCCUUCUCUCCUAUUCCUUUUUGUUCAAGCUUGCUGGUACCACACCCCCUC
rnacentral:lncRNA from 1 species